rnacentral:rRNA from 1 species
AGAGUUUGAUUCUGGCUCAGAACGAACGCUGGCAGCGUGGAUUAGGCAUGCAAGUCGAACGUGAUCCGGAAUGUAGCAAUACAGUACGGUGAAAGUGGCGCAAGGGUGAGUAACGCGUGGAUAAUCUACCUCUAAGUUGGGGAUAACCUUCCGAAAGGAGGGCUAACACCGAAUGUGGUCACUUCACAUAAGUGGGGAGGAUCAAAGAUGGGGAUCUUUCGGGACCUGUCGCUUGGAGAGGAGUCUGCGUGCCAUCAGCUAGUUGGUAGGGUAAUGGCCUACCAAGGCUUACGGCUAGCUGGUCUGAGAGGAUGACCAGCCACACUGGGACUGAGACACUGCCCAGACUCCUACGGGAGGCUGCAGUCGAGGAUCUUGGACAAUGGGGGAAACCCUGAUCCAGCGACGCUGCGUGGAGGAUGAAGGCCUUCGGGUUGUAAACUCCUGUCAUUCGGGAAAAACGACUUUGGGAUUAAUACUUCCAGAGAGUGAUGGUACCGAAAGAGGAAGCCACGGCUAACUCUGUGCCAGCAGCCGCGGUAAUACAGAGGUGGCAAGCGUUGUUCGGAUUUACUGGGCGUAAAGGGUGCGUAGGUGGUCGCUCGUGUCGGGUGUGAAAGCCCACGGCUUAACCGUGGAACGGCAUUCGAAACUGGGUGACUUGAGUACAGGAGGGGAGAGCGGAAUUCUUGGUGUAGCGGUGAAAUGCGUUGAUAUCAAGAAGGACACCGGUGGCGAAGGCGGCUCUCUGGAAUGUUACUGACACUGAGGCACGAAAGCUGGGGGAGCAAACAGGAUUAGAUACCCUGGUAGUCCCAGCUGUAAACGGUGUGCGCUUGGUGUGGGGAGAUUUGACCCUCCCCGUGCCGGAGCUAACGCGUUAAGCGCACCGCCUGGGGAGUACGGUCGCAAGACUAAAACUCAAAGAAAUUGACGGGGGCCCGCACAAGCGGAGGAGCAUGUGGCUCAAUUCGAUGCAACGCGAAGAACCUUACCAGGACUUGACAUGCAGCUGCACGUCCGUCGAAAGGCGGAUUCCUUCGAGGGUGCUGCACAGGUGCUGCAUGGCUGUCGUCAGUUCGUGCCGUGAGGUGUUGGGUUAAGUCCCGCAACGAACGCAACCCCUGUGUUUAGUUGCCACCGCCGCAAGGCGAGCACUCUAAACAGACUGCCUGUACAAAACAGGAGGAAGGUGGGGACGACGUCAAGUCAGUAUGGCCCUUAUGUCCUGGGCUGCACACGUGCUACAAUGGCCGGUACAGAGGGAAGCAAGACCGCGAGGUGGAGCAAAUCCUUAAAACCGGUCCCAGUUCGGAUUGAAGGCUGAAACUCGCCUUCAUGAAGUUGGAUUCGCUAGUAACGGCGUAUCAGCUACGACGCCGUGAAUACGUUCCCGGGCCUUGUACACACCGCCCGUCACAUCAUGAAAGCCGUCUGCACCCAAACACGCUGAGCUAACCCGCAAGGGAGGCAAGUGUCUAAGGUGUGGGUGGUGAUUGGGAUGAAGUCAAAACAAAA